CCAAAAGUGAUGAUGGAGAGAGUAGGUAUCUGAUGCCUUAAGAGAGGAAAUGCCUUUGGCUGGGAGCAUUUCUAGGUUAGAGGAUACUGAAGUUCACUCCUGAACUGCUAAGUCGAAAUAGUAGUAGGCUUAUGCCGGCUAUGCCGUUAUAUGAAUGAGAGGCUUGCUUACAGCAAGCAAUAAGGGUGGUACCGCGGAGAACCUUCGUCCCUUUG
rnacentral:ncRNA from 1 species